AAUGGACGAAAGUCUGACGGAGCGACGCCGCGUGGGUGAAGAAGGCCGUGAGGUUGUCAAGCCCUUUUCGUUGUCGAAGAAUAAGACGGGGAGGGAAUGCCCCGGAGAUGACGUUUGGCAAGGAAUAAGCGCCGGCCAAUUACGUGCCAGCAGCCGCGGUAACACGUAUGGGGCGAGCGUUGUUCGGAAUUAUCGGGCGUAAAGGGCGCGUAGGCGGUAGUAUAAGCCUGGUGUGAAAGGCCACAGCUCAACUGUGGGAAUGCGCUGGGAACUGUAUUACUUGAGUUCUGGAGGGGAAGUUGGAAUUCCUGGUGUAUGGGUGAGAUCUGUAGAUAUCAGGAAGAACACCAGUGGCGAAGGCGAACUUCUGGCCAAGAACUGACGCUGAGGCGCGAAAGCGUGGGGAGCGAACAGGAUUAGAUACCCUGGUAGUCCACGCUGUAAACGAUGUGCACUAGGUGUCGGGUCACGAAGACUCGGUGCCGGAGCGAACGUGUUAAGUGCACCGCCUGGGGAGUAUGCUCGCAAGGGUGAAACUCAAAGGAAUUGACGGGGGCCCGCAUAAACGGUGGAGCAUGUGGUUUAAUUCGAUGAUACGCGAGGAACCUUACCAGGGCUUGACAUCUACUUGACAGCGGUAGAGAUACCGUUUCCCUUCGGGACAGGUAGACAGGUGCUGCAUGGCUGUCGUCAGCUCGUG
rnacentral:rRNA from 1 species